GGGGAUGUAGCUCAGUUGGUAGAGUGCUGGCCUCAUAUGUACAAGGCCCUGGGUUCGAUCUCCAGCACCACCA
rfam:Ictidomys tridecemlineatus contig027368, whole genome shotgun sequence.